CUGUGGGAAAAGAUUAUAUUUUUUUUGUUUUAAAGACACCGCAUAACAUCUACAUAACACAUUUCCCAAAUGAAUUUUGUACAUAUUUUACCUUUUAAAAAGUGAAGAUUGGGAAAAGGAAUCUAGUACUGAAAGAAACACGUAGCUUUUAAUCACCCUUCAUAAAUGAAAUGUACACACUCGCUGUCUUUUGCUAGUCACCUCUGCUCAAAUCUGUGAUCAUGUGUUACAACAAAAAAAUCUUCAGGUCUCGCAUGAACAUUAUGUCUAGAAGUAAAGUUCUUAACAAUGAAAUUGCAUUGUCCUUGUAAGGAACCUUCCCAUUAGCUGAACAAGUGAAACCCCUGAGCUUCUUGGUUAUUGGCAUUCUAUUAGGGAAAAGUAUUAUUCUUAUAGAACAACAUGACGGAAGUAGAUUUCUGAGGAAGGUUUUGGUGAAGAUAAUAAUGCUUUAUUUAUCAGCUCAGCCUGAGGUGAAGACUUUUGUAUGGAAAGAGGUGUGGAAGAGAUGCAGAGGGGCAUGGAGAAGACAGAUGAUGGAUGCAGUGGGAGGCCUGGAGGAAGUCCUGGGGCUGAUGGUGUGAGCAGUAGAGGAAGAGCUACCGAGAUGUAUUAUGAAAGCGUCAGAGUGACAGACAAACUGUCAAAUAAACUCAAAACCCCAAAUGGAAAGAGUUCAGAAAACAGCAUCAAGAAAAUUUCAGGCCUGUCUGUGGCUACAUGCCAACCAUGGGGGUUCAAGUUCAAGUCCUGA
rnacentral:lncRNA from 1 species